rnacentral:tRNA from 1 species
CGAAGUGUAGCUUAAACAAAGCAUUUCGUUUACACCGAAAAAAUAUCUGUGAGAAUCGGAUCCCUUCGA